AGGUCCAGUGGACAGAAUUCAGACGUCUCUGUGUGUCCGGUCCUGUCCGGUCCUGUCUCUGGUUGCCUGGUUACAGACACUGCUGCACCCGCACGUUUAAAAAUGUCUACACCUGAAACUCCACCACGUCUAAAGAAGCAAAAACGUUUGCAAAUGUACAGACUGGAGUGGGAAGAGUGGAACCCCUGGCAAUGGAUACAAGGCAAACUGUGUUUAUGUUGCUCAUGGACUGGCUGAAGUAAGGCAGCAUCAGGAGACAAACAUGGAGGAAAUAUGAGAACAGAGAGAACCCAACCAGCAGGUCACAGUUUAUCAUCAUCUAAUCAUCUCCUGAAGUCCAUAUGACCAAAGAACUACAGACUCUUCACAACCUGCUCAAACUCUUGGUACAGGACCUCACCACACGGGUCAAGAAGGUUUCCAUCUCAUUUCUACUCUGAAGCUCACCUUCUCCUGCUCAAACUACUGACAAAUGUUUCUGCUGCUCUAAAGUCUGGUCUCCAGAACUUCCUAAAAACUCUCAAAGGCUCUUCUGCUGCAGGUUGCUUUGUAGAACUGUUCCAGAAAACCUCACUAAACCACAUGGAGGGGCCUCAAGAUAGUCGUCCAAAUGAAACCGUACAAAAACCAAACUAGCACAACCCAAAUGCUAAAGUCUCCUGCAGCCUACCAGAGAACCUCUGAGAACAGAGAAUCAGGACAGGAACUCUUACCUUCUGGACAACCAACACUGGUUCUCAAACAAGAAUACAGAAUGUAUCUGACCAAAAACCUCUAAAGACUCACUACAGCCAAGAUAAAGACACAACUCAGCUGCACCAAAUCCACUAAUCACUGCACACAUUACCACCAUGUGCUAACUGUGGCUAAAGAACCACAUUUACCAAGACAACUAUCCAGUACAAAGCCCUAAAACACACCAAGAAACACAUUAAAGACGAUUUUACUGCUGGAAGCUGCAAGCCAACACCUAAAGAACAAACUGAAGCAACAGAGCCAAACCCGGUUCACUGGUGAAGAGAAGCAGAGGAAAUGUUUGUCUGCAGCUAAAUAAAGCAGGAAGACACUGAGCUGCUCAGGUGUUCCUGAUAACACCAAGCAGCCACCUGGACAGCCAAUAGGAACACAGCUUACUGGAAGUCCAGAGGGCUGGGUUAGUGAAGGAAAUUUAAUUUAAAGUUGAAGCAGAAAGUUAAUAAAGAAAGUUGAAAACCACCUUCUGAUACCUGAAAUCUCUGAGUUUUCACACAAAGAAUGCCUGAACAUGUCAAACUGGUUCCAUAGUAGAACCAUCAUUGUAAAAACGUCAUAGUAUGGUGUGUUGCUCAAAAAACAUUAGGACCCGGCUGUCAGGGGACAAACAUGUAAGAAACAUGAGAACAGAGAGAACCCAACCAGUAGGUCACAGUUUAUCAUCCCCCAGUCAUCUCCUGAAGUCCAUAUGGUGAGAGACAUCAGUGUCUGGUUGUUAAUUUACCAGAGGAUGCUUAUAAUCAUGCUGAUGUGGUCUGUACUCUACAGUAUUUUAGUGACUCAAUAAAUGCCUAAGUCAACCCGCCCGGCCAGCAGGCAGAUGGGUCCCCCCACAUUAGAGCCGGGUUCUGCUCGAGGUUUUUUUCCCUGUUAAAAGGGUGUUUUCCUUGCCACUGUCGCCUUUUGGCUUGCUCUGGGGGUCAGGCAUAUUGGUUCUGUAAAGCGUCUCGAGACAAUUUGACUGUAAUUGGUGCUAUAUAAAUAAAAUUGAAUUGAAUUGAA